UGAUCGACAAAUGUUUUGCUCUAUUUUCACUCCACUCCAAUUAGCUCCUCUAUUUUCACUUUCCAGAAAAAUCUCUCCCUCCCGAGUCCUCUCUUUCAAGUAAGACCCUGUCUUCUCUCUCUCUCUCUCUCUCUCUCUCUCUCUCUCUCUCUCCCUCCUUGCCUCGGUUGCCGCCGUCAGCAGUCGCGAAGCAGGCCGGACAACGACCAUCCUUCAAGCAGCAGAAGCUCUCUCUCGAUCUCUCCUGCGUUUCCCUCUCGCAGCCACGAUGCAGUCACAGUAAGGAAGGCCCUUCUCUCUCCGUCUCUAUUUCUCCAAUCUCUCGGCCGCUGCCCACGCCACCAGCAUCAAGUCCAGCUCCGCUGCUACUCACGCCACCAGCAUCAAGUCCAGCUCCAAACCCAGACCUAACCACCUUCCAUUGAACUCAACCCAAUACUCGGCAGCGGAGGAGAAGUCCUGAGUUCUUCUUUGUGGACCUAAGGGCCACCACCAACAACUUAAGUUAUGAUUUCAUUGUCUCCGAGAGCGGUGAGAAGGCCCCCAAUCUCGUCUACAAGGGCCGCCUCCGAAACGGCCACUGGAUUGCUGUGAAAAAAUUCAGCAAGGCCUGGCUUGAUCCCAAACAGUUUGGUGUAAAGUUAUUUUCUUUUCUUUCAUUUUAUGCUUUUUUUGAGCUCAAGAAGCUUUUUUGAGGCUGGCUUCCCUUUUUCAAUAAAAUUCAUAUUUACUGAUUAAAAAAAGAAGAAACUUUUUAAGGCAAAUCCCCGUUUUGUAACCAGUUGAUAGCUGCAAGAAUCAGGAAUGUCGGUUCCCACGAUUAUGGAUUUUCAUCCCAUUCAACAAACACUACUUCUAGUUAAGCAUAAGUUUGUGGGAAGUUAGUUCCAAGAAGUUGGUUUCAAGAAAUUCUAAGGUAUGGAAUAUCAGAGCAAGUUCAAUGAUAUUAAAGGCCUAUGUUCCUUCUCAAUCAAUAUAACUAAAAGCAAGUCAGCAAUUCAUUUUAGCAAAGAAUAUGAAUUCUAAAUAUGAUGAAAUGUAGGCAAAUCUAAUCAAAGAUCCAUGUGUCUUGGUUAGGCAUACAAUAUGGAGCCCUGAUGAUUCUUUGUUUGGUGAGAUUUAAGAUAUGGACAAUAACAAUGCUUGUAAUAGCCUAUCAUCCAAAUUACUAUCUUUAUUGGAAAUAUGUUGCUUUUCAUCAAACUGGAGUUGCAUAUUCUAAACACAUGAUGCAGCUGUAUACUUAUCAAGGUGGGAAUGACAUCCGCCAUUUGGAGGUUGUGUCGGCGUCACCCACACAGCAACAUCCACCGUGAGAUCUAGCCUCCAACGCCCUCCUCUCUCCCCCUCUGUCUCUCCCUUCUUCUCUCUAGCCAAUAGCCACUCUCAACUCUCAAGCUUGAAAACUCCUUGUCUCUGCAUCAUCUUAAAAAAGCUUAAAUUUAUAUUAUGUUUUAUCUUGUAAUUUUUAUGUGAUUUAAAGUCUACAGUAUCUCAUCUCCAACGGAAUUAUUAUAUAUGCUAGCUUCUAUUUAAAUUAAUAUUGGUUUUAAGGAUGAA